AGAGUUUGAUCCUGGCUCAGGACGAACGCUGGCGGCGUGCUUAACACAUGCAAGUCGAACGGUGAUCCUGCUUCGGUGGGGGAUCAGUGGCGAACGGGUGAGUAACACGUGGGCAACCUGCCCCUGGCUCUGGGAUAACUCCAAGAAAUUGGGGGCUAAUACCGGAUAUGACUGCUGACCGCAUGGUCUGGUGGUGGAAAGAUUUAUCGGCUGGGGAUGGGCCCGCGGCCUAUCAGCUUGUUGGUGGGGUAGUGGCCUACCAAGGCGACGACGGGUAGCCGGCCUGAGAGGGUGACCGGCCACACUGGGACUGAGACACGGCCCAGACUCCUACGGGAGGCAGCAGUGGGGAAUAUUGCGCAAUGGGCGGAAGCCUGACGCAGCGACGCCGCGUGGGGGAUGACGGCCUUCGGGUUGUAAACCUCUUUCAGCAGGGACGAAGCGGAAGUGACGGUACCUGCAGAAGAAGCACCGGCCAACUACGUGCCAGCAGCCGCGGUAAUACGUAGGGUGCAAGCGUUGUCCGGAAUUAUUGGGCGUAAAGAGCUCGUAGGCGGUUUGUUGCGUCGGCUGUGAAAUCCCGAGGCUCAACCUCGGGUCUGCAGUCGAUACGAGCAAACUGGAGUGUUGCAGGGGAGACUGGAAUUCCUGGUGUAGCGGUGAAAUGCGCGAUAUCAGGAGGAACACCGGUGGCGAAGGCGGGUCUCUGGGCAACAACUGACGCUGAGGAGCGAAAGCGUGGGGAGCGAACAGGAUUAGAUACCCUAGUAGUCC
rnacentral:rRNA from 1 species